ACCUGGCUGGCUCAGUCAGUAGAGCACAUGACUCUUAAUCUCAAGGUCGGGAGUUCAAAGCUCCAUGUUGGGUG
rnacentral:tRNA from 1 species